AAAUAAGUCAAUUCGUGCUUGCUAUAGCAAGAAAGUUUAAUCUAUUCCAGUGUUCUCUUCUCCAUGAGACACCCUGUUAUACAGGCUCAAACAAU
rnacentral:snoRNA from 1 species